ACACCGGGCUGUGCAGCCCAGGCUGAGCUGUGAGUGGCAGUGAGCACACAGGAGAAAUGCAGGGUCUACCGUGGUGGCUCACGCCUGGAAUCCCAGCACUUCAGGAGGCUGAGGCGGGUGAUGGCUUAAGGCCAGGAGCUUCAGACAGUCCUGGACAACAUACUGUGAUCCUGUCUCUACAGAAAAGAAAAAACAUCACCCACCCCCCUGGGAAUGAGGCUCUGAGUCGGUCCUGCCUCCUCAGUGCCCCUUGUGUCCUUGGCCGUCCUUCGGCGCCUCCGUCCAUGUUCAGGAUUUUCAGAACAGUUUGUUAGGUCUGUAAUCUGCUUCCGGGGGAGGGGAGCUGAUUUGUGUUUAAUUCCUGAUUAUCAUCCAGGGUUUAUGUGACCUUGGACAUUAAUGUCA